GUGACAGGUGCUGCAUGGCUGUCGUCAGCUCGUGUCGUGAGAUGUUGGGUUUGAGUCCCGCAACGAGCGCAACCCUCGUCCUUAGUUGCCAUCAUUAAGUUGGGCACUUUAAGGAAACUGCCGGUGAUAAGCCGGAGGAAGGUGGGGAUGACGUCAAGUCCUCAUGGCCCUUACAGGCUGGGCUACACACGUGCUACAAUGGCAUCUACAGUGGGCAGCUAUUCCGCAAGGAUGCGCUAAUCUCCAAAAGAUGUCUCAGUUCGGAUUGUCCUCUGCAACUCGAGGGCAUGAAGGCGGAAUCGCUAGUAAUCGCGGAUCAGCAUGCCGCGGUGAAUACGUUCCCAGGCCUU
rnacentral:rRNA from 1 species